rnacentral:rRNA from 1 species
AUUCCCCYUAGUAACUGCGAGUGAAGCGGGAAAAGCUCAAAUUUAAAAUCUGGCGGUCUUCUGGUCGUCCGAGUUGUAGUCUGGAGAAGUGUUUUCCGCGCUGGACCGUGUACAAGUCUCCUGGAACGGAGCGUCAUAGAGGGUGAGAAUCCCGUCUUUGACACGGACNCCCCCAGUGCUCUGUGAUGCGCUCUCGAAGAGUCGAGUUGUUUGGGAAUGCAGCUCAAAAUGGGUGGUGAAUUCCAUCUAAAGCUAAAUAUUGGCGAGAGACCGAUAGCGAACAAGUACCGUGAGGGAAAGAUGAAAAGCACUUUGGAAAGAGAGUUAAACAGUACGUGAAAUUGUUGAAAGGGAAACGCUUGAAGUCAGUCGCGUCUACCGAGAUUCAGCCUUGCCUUCUGGCCUGGUGCACUUCUCGGCGGACGGGCCAGCAUCAGUUUUGAUCGUCGGACAAAGGCGAGAGGAAGGUGGCACCCUCGGGUGUGUUAUAGCCUCUCGUCACAUACGACGGUUGGGAUUGAGGACCGCAGCACGCCUUUAUGGUCGGGGUUCGCCCACGUUUCGUGCUUAGGAUGCUGGCGUAAUGGCUUUAAACGACCCGUCUUGAAACACGGACCAAGGAGUCUAACAUGCCCGCGAGUGUUCGGGUGGAAAACCCGUGCGCGUAAUGAAAGUGAAAGUUGGGACCUCUGUCGUGGAGGGCACCGACGCCCGGACCAGACCUUCUGUGACGGAUCUGCGGUAGAGCGUGUAUGUUGGGACCCGAAAGAUGGUGAACUAUGCCUGAAUAGGGUGAAGCCAGAGGAAACUCUUGGUGGAGGCUCGUAGCGAUUCUGACGUGCAAAUCGAUCGUCAAAUUUGGGUAUAGGGGGCGAAAGACUAAUCGAACCAUCUAGUAGCUGGUC